AUUGAACGCUGGCGGCAUGCCUUACACAUGCAAGUCGAACGGUAACAGGUUAAGCUGACGAGUGGCGAACGGGUGAGUAAUAUAUCGGAACGUGCCCAGUCGUGGGGGAUAACGUAGCGAAAGCUACGCUAAUACCGCAUACGAUCUACGGAUGAAAGCGGGGGAUCGCAAGACCUCGCGCGAUUGGAGCGGCCGAUAUCAGAUUAGCUAGUUGGUGGGGUAAAAGCUCACCAAGGCGACGAUCUGUAGCUGGUCUGAGAGGACGACCAGCCACACUGGAACUGAGACACGUUUCGGACUCCUAGGGGAGGAAGCAGUGGGGAAUUUUGGACAAUGGGCGCAAGACUGAGCCAGCAAUGCCGCGUGCAGGAUGAAGGACUUCGGGUUGUAAACUGCUUUUGUACGGAACGAAACGGUCCUUUCUAAUACAAGCGGCUAAUGACGGUACCGUAAGAAUAAGCACCGGCUAACUACGUGCCAGCCGCCGCCGUAAAAC
rnacentral:rRNA from 1 species